UUCUUUCUCUUCCCCUGGGCAAACUUUCUCUCUCACAUUCACAUCCUCUCUUAUGUCUCCGGAGGAAGGAUGCUCUGUGGCUCCCUUAGCAGCAAAUGUGGAGGAAUUUGAGGCUGAUGGGGACACAGCCUUUCUGGCCCAGCUUAGUUGAGACCAUGAAGGCUGCCUCCUACUCCCUCUGUCCCAUGCUGGAGAAUGGAACAUUCUAUUCCUGAUCCUGCAGACAAAAUGUCGUUAUGGUGAUUCAUGGACUCAGAAUUCCAGAAAGUCCAGGCUGAAAGGGGCCUCAGAGGGCAUCCUCCCUACUCCAUGGCCUUGCCCUUGUCUCUCCACCUCCCCGAUAGAAGGCACUAGAUCUCAAUAUAAGCCCCAGGGCAGCAAGACUGAUCUAGCUUCCCCAUUAUUCCGCUUGGGAAUAAUGCCCAAGGACCACUAGGCCUGAGUCUCACAGCUCCAGGCCUGGAAAGGAGCCUACUUGUCCCGUCACAGAUCACAACUGGGCGGGCCAGCUCUGAGCCUUUGCUAUUUGAAGGGAUGUUUUGAUAACCUCUUACCGCUCCUCCCCAACCCUGCAAAGCCCCACCUGAUCACCCCACACUCUGGGCCUCCUCUUAUCUCCUUACUCUAAGCUCCCCAUCCAUUACUGUCGGCUGGCAACACAAGUUUUAUCUGAGCCUCUGUGGAAUGGAAUUGAUUUCUGUGAAUAAUUGGAAUAGCUGGCUAGUGACCCAGUAUUGCUGCCACCAGGGUAGUUGGAGCUUCAAAGCUCUCAUCCAACUCUGCCUCUCUCUCUCCAUUCCCGUGGCUGUUGUCUGGUCCAAACCAUCCUGACCUUCUGCUUGGAUCAUGAUUACAGCUUCCUAACUGCGCUGCCUCUUUCUGAUUACCCUGCACCCCAUCAUCCACUCCAAUCUGUCCUCUACAUAGCGGCUAAAUAGAUCUUUAAAAGCUCAAACCUGCCUAGACAGUAACGCCUUUCUACCUUGGCCUGCCAUUUAGGGGUCUUUCUGAUGGAAUUCCAGCUUAACUUUCCAGCCUUACAGCCCCUGUUGGUCCUAGUUCUCUCUGGCCACCAGAACUCAUCUGCUUCCUCCUCCCACGAGAAACUGGGGAGAGAUGGAGACAGCACCCAAAGCCUGCUCUUCUUUAAGCUGUUUCCUCUCAACUGGGCUUUCCAUCGUGCCAUUGCUGGGCUACCUUGGCUUGGCCAAGCCCCAUCUCCUAUUGUCGCAGUGUGAAUACCAGAAGAAGCAAACAGCCUGCAGAUGGGACACUUAUUCACCCCUGAUGCAAGUGUGACUGGAGCUAUUGAAUGACUGAUGAGAUCCGUUGUAACAAUCAUUCUGGCAAAGGUGUGGAGAUGGCUCAGAGGAUUGAGCUGGGAGCAGGGUGGCCUCAGCCACAUGUGCUACCAUGGCUCUGAGCAGGGGCCUUCUUGGAUCAUUCAACCAGCAGAUGAAGAAAAAGAGGGCGAAUGGAGAAUUAUAUGUCAGAGAAUUUUAUGGAUCUUACUGGAGGGUAAAUUCAAUCCUGGUAACUUAAUUGUGGGCAAAAGUGCAAAUCUCCUGGCAUCCAAUUCUUACCAUAGAUUUCUGAUGUCUGGAAGCAUGGUGGAGCAACACACUUCUGAAGGGACAGCAGGUGCUGUAGUGAAGUUUUCCACAAAAGAAGAAAAUGUUGUGCUCUUUGUCUACCUCACCAACUUCCCUUCAGCCCUUGGGGAGUGUAGAAGACCUCCAUGUUCAUCAGGGCUCCAUUUUAAGGAGAGAACAGAAGUUGGAGGAUAAGGUGGGAGUUCUGAUUGAUGUGGACCAGAUAAGGUGACAUCUGGCCAAAGAGGAAGCUGGGAGCCACAGACUGCUAAUAGGAUGAAGGGAGACACAGCUACCCCUCUGUGGGGUCAUCAGAGAUGGAGGGGGCUGGCAUAAAGAUGAACAUCUGCGUCCAAAACCAUAUAACUCCAUACACCACAUCAUCUAAUAGGAGACCAACAUAUUGUCAGAGGCCGCCAGCAACAGAGGGAAGCAGGUAAAGCCAGUGUAAGAUCAGGAGCCUUUUUCCACCAAUGACAAACAGCCACUUAUUUAGAGCGAUCUCUGUUAUUCCUCUUAUUUUCCCUUCUUCCCUCAACAUGAAAGGCACUAGACCCAGAAAAGAAAGGAGAAAAUUAGAAGACAAGACCACAACCUUUUACCACCCUUGGUGUUUUUUUUUUCUUUUUUCUUUUUUUUGACAGUCUCACUCUGUUGCCCAGGUGCUGGAGUGCAGUGGCGUGAUCUCGGCUCACUGCAAACUCCGCCUCCCAGGUUCAAGUGAUUCUUGUGCCUCAGUCUCCCAAGUAGUUGGGACUACAGACAUGCACCACCAUGCCCAGCUAAUUUUGUAUUUUUUUUGUAGUGACAGGGUUUCUCCAUGUCCCCUUCCCACUCUCGUAACUUGAGGUACAAGUCUGGCAAACAUUGAAGCGAGACGAGGAAGUGCUAUUGAAACUGGAUAUGAGAUGGGAGUUGUGAACUAGACCAGACGGGACUUUUGGUAACUGAUAUCGAUGGGAAAGCAAUGGGAUCUACCUGAAAAUAUCAUUAGAAAAUGAUACUGACAGAUAGGACAAAUCAUGGUUAACAGUUGUGGCUAGAGUAAACAAGUUGAACUGUUUAUACCUAUACCGCAAUGGAUUGAGGCUUCUCAAUAAACUGGUUACAUCUGAUCUGCUAACAACAGCUGCUAAACAUUGAAAGGGGUACUGUGCUGACUGCUGUAUACACACUAUGUCAUUUGCUCUUCACAACCUAUAGGAUGGGCACUAGUUUUUCCCCCUUUUGGCAGAUGACAGAAACCGAGGCACAACCAACUUGUCUAAAUAUAGAUUACAGAAAUUUCACAUGUAUCUCUCCAGUUCACAGGAAGUGUCAUUCUCCUUAAUCACUUUGCUCUUAUCCUUGAUGUUUUUCCAAACAUUUUUGCUGAUGUUGAGUGUUUUCCAUUUCUCUGAGCUGUGUUGUCAGUCCAUCUCCUGAUGAAGCAAGGGCAGUUUGAAUGCUGAAUGGAGGUGGAUGAGGAAGGGGAACACUACGUGAAAAUAUUUGUUUUACACAGAUGAAAUGUUGGAUCAGAACGCACGGAACUACAUCCAGGGAGGCCGCGAGGAACACAAGGGGAGCAGAUAAUGACAUGGUCCACAACACACUUAAGGAGUUGGCAGAGUUUGGGAUCAGGGGAUUCUGCGCGUGUGUGGAUAAUCAGCAUUCAGGAGAAGGUGUAGUGCACACCCACAACUCAUGGAGACCCUACUGUGUGCUGGGCUCUGCAUUAGGCCAUGGAAAUAAAAAGAGGGUUUAAUCCUGGCUCCUGUCCUCGAGGAGCUCACAGCCUACUGGAGAGAGAGAGACAUACCCGGAUAUUCUCAAUGUGUUGCAACAAAUGCUAAGCUGGAGACAUGGGCAUGAGAUCCCCUGGUAGAGAGAGACCAUUAAGCUUCAAGUGAUCAUGCAGAAGAGCUACCAGCCAGUUUCAGAUAAUGGCCCUGGUCAUUGAGAGGUCACACUGUCUUCAUUAGACAGAGAAGGGAGAGCGUUUUGUGAUCCUCAAUAGGAACAGAAAUAUCAGCAGUUUGUGGCAUUAAGCCCACAAAUUUCAGGAAGUUGGAUUCCAAACUCUAGGACAUGAGGUCCAAAUAAAGUUGAAGAGAUUUUCAGAAACUCAAAUUAUGCCCAUGAGAAACAGUUGAAUAACUGGGCACACUCAGCUUGGCAAAGGUCAAGUUUGAAAUGUUCCUGACUGCUAAUCUCUGAAGAGCUAUCUGGGAAAUGUCAGUUGUUACACAUGUGACCUUUGAAUGUUCAAUUAAAUGUAAGAUACAGAGAAGCAGGUCAGUAUUAAAUAAGGACAAGCAUUAAAAGAUGUAUUGAAGCAGGAACAUUAGAAAAAAACAAAUCUCUAAAAACUUGGAUAGUGUGAAUAAGCCGAUAGAAGCUACAGUACAGUUUGUUUUGCAAAACAGCAGCUAGCAGAGGUGAAUGUUGUGAACUGGUGGCUUUCUGGCGGAGUGGUGUCUUCCCCAAACCCCACAACCACAGUGGUGGAAAAUGGCAGUUCUGAGGGUCACAUACAGAGUUCAGGCCAGAAGAACAGCUGCAAAUGUAAACGGAAAAUCCAAGAAGUGGAGAGAUAUUUAGGAAGACCAAGACCCAAAUCCUUCGCUGACAGCAGAACUACACGUGGUGGGAGGUGGCGCAGGAGCCUGGUGAAAAGCAGGGGGAGAGCACAGGACACUACUCUUGAAACACAGAGCUCUGCCAGAAGAGAUCUGUGAGUCUGAAGCUUCUUAAAUUGAGCACAACCCCAAAUCAUGAACAGCUAUUUUUUGGUGUCUUAAAUUUUCUUGCUUAUUGUGCAAGUUCCCCCAAUCCCCGCCCCCAACACCAUAGUUGAGAAUGAAUGAAAACUUUUUGUUUAAGGAAAAGUAAAACACCUGGUGUUGCAGCUAGUGUAACUCUCCCUACGUGGUGUAUUUUAAUGAUACUGUGCAAUUAAAACUUAAUUUUAUGCCCUGAAGUGUCAGUGGUCCCUUUAAGAAUUCAAGUGAGAAAUAUGUGUAAAUUCUGUUAGGUGUUAAAUGUUAAAAAGCUUUCCCAGGUUGUUUGAAAAUCUGUCACCAUAAGGACAAUGGGUUUCAACUUGGUUGAGAUACAAAAAGGUCACACUUUCAGAUAACAGCAUUGUCAACAGCUCCAGCAGCAAAAGAGAACAGUAUGUAGGAUCAAGGAAUGGGUGGAGAGCAUAUGUUUAACAUACAUGGAAAAGUUCAGAACUUCCUGAGACAGACAGACUUGAGAAUUAUGGGUCAUGCAGCUUUAGCUUCCCCACUCCCAUUAGCAUCUCUCAUCCUUCAAGCCAACUUACGUU